UACGUAGGGGGCUAGCGUUGUCCGGAUUUAUUGGGCGUAAAGAGCUCGUAGGCGGUCUGUCGCGUCUGUUGUGAAAACUCGAGGCUCAACCUCGGGCUUGCAGUGGAUACGGGCAGACUAGAGUGCGGUAGGGGAGACUGGAAUUCCUGGUGUAGCGGUGGAAUGCGCAGAUAUCAGGAGGAACACCGAUGGCGAAGGCAGGUCUCUGGGCAUUAACUGACGCUGAGGAGCGAAAGCAUGGGGAGCGAACAGG
rnacentral:rRNA from 1 species